AUGUAAUAUGUGGUCUUUCACGAGUGGCUUCUCUCACUUAGCGGAAUGUUUUUGAGGUUCAUCCACGUUACAGCAUAUAUCAGCACUUUGUUCCUUUUCAUGGCUGAACAAUAUUGCAUUGUGUGGAUACACCACAUUUUGUUUCUCCGUUCACCUGUUGAUGGACAUUUGGGUUGUUUCCACCUUUUGGCUAUUGUGAAUGGUGCUGCUAUGAUCAUGCGUGUGCAUGUCUCUGAGUCUCUAUUUUCAAUCCUUUGGGGUAUAUACCUAGGAGUGGAAUUGCUGGGUCAUAGGGUAAUUCUUUUAGGAACUGCCAAGCUGUUUUGCACGGUGCUGCACAAUGUACACUUCCCACCAGCAAUGCGUGUGUCCCAAUUUUUGCAAUCUUCAUCACCACUUGUUAUUUUCCAUUUUUUCAAUUAUUCUAGUCCUCCUAGUGGGUACGAUGUGGUAUCUCGGUGUGCUUUUGACUUGCAUUUCUCUAGUGACGGAUGGUGGGGAGCAUCUUUUCACACGCUGUUGGCUGUUUAUAUAUCUUCUGUCUGUAAACUUUUAAUGAAAGGCAUUUUGUUGUCAUCUAACUGCUUUGGGAAACAUUCUCAGGAGGUGAGAAACUCAACACACCUCCACCUUGCAAUCUUUCCCCUCUGACCUCUAAGUAGACGGAGGGCAGAGGGAGGUGGAUGCUGGGGAGACAGAAGGACUAAGUGCCAAUCGGCCCCUCUCCUUCAGUCCUGCUUGUCUCCUACCGGGCAGGCGGCUUUGGAAACCGUAUUCCGCUCUGGGCAGGACGUCCCAGCUUUUCCAAAGCUCAUACACUGUUUUUUUCUGACUCUUUGGUUGUCUGGCGUCCUUCUGAAUAAGGGUUGGCCGAGGAAAGACGGGGCACAGCUGUGCGGGUAAUGAAGUCUGGGUCCCCUGAGCCGCCCGGGAUAUUGCUUCAAUAAAGGGGCCUUCCGACGUCAGGCUGUAGCUUUAUGCUUCAUUCUCUUUCAUCUCCUCAUGGGAAACUUCAGGGCUAUUUAGCUCUUCCUGUGUCUCGAGCUAACAAUUCUAGACAAACCAUGGAUCUGUGGAGCAGGAGAUGGUGUGUUCUCAGCCUUAGAUAGGUACCAGAUAGAAAAUCAAAAGUAAACAUCCACCUUCUUCUCAAGCCAUCAGAGCGUGGCAUGCCCCUGCUUACAAACCUUCCACAGCCGUGCCUUUCACUGACGUGAAAGCCAUGAGCAUUUCUGGAGGCCGGCGUGCUGUGGCCCCUGCCCAGCUCCUCAAUAGCUUCUACUGCUCAAGGCCCCACCCUCGAAGCCCCUGUACCACCGGCCCACUUUCUAUUUGAGCCCACCUGGCUGUUCUGCCUCCGCCCCGAGGGUGAGGCUGUGGAGACUCCCGUGGCCAGCGCCGCGUCCAGCCCCUCUCAGUGAGGACUGCUUUCCUUCCCUCCUGCGAGUCUGGCUCCUCCUCAUCCUUCAGGCCCGAGCUCUUCAGAGGGGUCUUGCCUCACCCAGCUUACCAAAAAUAGCACGUCUCUCCCUUCGGUUCCUGAUAAAGAAAAAACUGUUCUGAUGGUUGUUAAGAUGAAAAGCAAGAGCUCCUGAGGGCAGAGGUUUCCCUCUUCUCAGCCCACACUCUGCGUCUGGAGCAGUGCUGGCGGCCGCGGCAGCAAGCGUGUGCCCGGUCCUUUAGGACAGAGGCAAUAUGUGAUUGCUGGGGGAGCCCACAGCAGGAGUCAAUCAGCUAUGCGGGAAGUGCCAGACCUGGAAGGGCACUUGAGAACCCAACCCCCUUACUGCACAAAGAGAAGGUCCUUUGCCAAGUUCACGAAUCUGGACGGAGAUCGUGUAUGACCAGGCUUCGCAGCCCCCGUUCGCUGGCCCUCCUCCUGCACUGCUGGGCAGCCACUCGAAGUCCUUUCUACGGGGCCUGGUGAGGGUGCCUGUUGCUGCUACAUCCCCUGCUGGGGCCGGGGGUGCUCCUCGGAUCUUGCCUCAUGUCCCCCCACGCCUCUAUUCUUGAUUCUGUCCGACCACCUGUUUCCUUUUUCCCUCAAUGGGUUAAUCUAAUAAGGAACCCAAUUUACAACUUAUUUAGACGUGAGUAUCUGUGUACUUUGCAGAGGGGAGGGUGCACUAUUUGGUGAGCUCCAACAUGUCCUGACAGCCUGGAAGCUGGCCCUCCAGUACGCCGAGCUUUCUUUAAAGCCCGCCUUGGAAUGUCUGCACCUCAUGUUUCAGAGCGGACAGAGGCAGAACAUUUCUGCUCUUAGCCCUAUUUUUGCACAUGGGGAAGCUGAAUUAGAAGGCAUUAAGCAACUGAAAUGUCCCAAGAGUAGGGGAAUGGCUAACACAUGGCAUAUCCACAUAAUGAGAGAUGUUAAAGCCAUUCACUAAGUUGCCAGGCAACUAUUUAACGACUAUAAUGACUUAGGGAAAUGCUUAGGAUAAAAUAUUAAGUGACAAGCAGGAUGUACUGUUGUGGAAUUUCAGUAUUCAGCGUUCAUGGUUUCAUGCCUCAUGAGUAACCGCGAGGGCGCAGCACAUGUUAUAAUGCUCCUGAGGCUGUAUUUGAGUCCUGCGGCCUCAGAGUCUAUUCCACAAGGUGGAGUCACUUAGCCAGAGGGGAGCCAACAGCUGCUUGUGUCUACACAUGCCCGUGACCACAUGUCAAAACAGUUUGUUGGUUUGUACCUUGCAGAUAUUCACUGACCGACUCACAGUGAUCAAUUCCAUUUGUUUGUAAAACGUGUUCCCCAAAGACCAUCAACUUCUAGUGCUGCUGCUGGAAUAAAGAGAAAAUAGAACAGUCUAAAAAGGCAAUGCUUCUUAGAAAAUUUAACCAAAACUUCAAAAAUGUAGAACGCCAAGUUCAAUAGAUUUAGAAUUGUGAUAUGACUAAGGCUGCCAGAGAGUCUGUGUGUAAACAAGAAAAAGCACCCUGGGAACUGCUGUGAGGAGUCCAGGCGGUGCAGAAGGUGUUCAAGCAAAAAGGAGCUUUGAUUAAAGCUGAAAAAGUCAUUGGUGUGAGGUUCAGAGAUGUGCACAAAAUCAAGUCAGUCUCACAUGAAACGUGAAGGACUUGAUAGAAUCCCAGGAGUUUGUGCACAUAAUCCCGUGAAGCUUCAGGAGGCGAAAUCUUCAGCAUCGCUAGUCAACCAACCGUUCACCACAGGAGCAGGGCACGGGCCAUCCCUGCCAACGGGUUCCCCAGAGCACAAGGGGCUGCGGGUGGAGCCCGGGGAGGACGGAGGUUGAGUUUAGACCAAAACUUCUCACAUUCCAAGAAAAGCAAGUGAGAGUUCAGGGUGGCCAGGGCCAGGAUCUCCCCCAGUUUUGUGCAAUGAGACAGGCUCCAUGACUGAGGACCAACUUCUUAAGGAAGUCCAAAAUAUUAAGGGGGAAGAUUAAGACAUUUCUGACUGGUCUCUUAAGUCUAUUGUCAGAGUGCUAUUUGUGAAUUCCGGGACUGGUGAGUUGUAGUUAAUGACAAGAGUGGAUUUUCAGUGUUCAUGAGAGAUUUAUCCAUGUUUGUCUAAAGAAAACACGUGCACGCACACAAACGCGCAGGCGGGCAAAGGGGAAGUGAGGGUGGGGGAAGCAAGAGAGAGAAAGAUGAAAGAAAUUCACCAAAAGCUGCUUGUGAGUCUUCGCUUCUGGUCGUGAGGAAGUGUCAGGGAUUGGACUAACCUUUGUGUGCUGUGAA
ensembl:lncRNA